UGCCAGGCGCCUGAAGGAGAACCAGAU
rnacentral:piRNA from 1 species